rnacentral:rRNA from 1 species
UACGUACGAGGCGAGCGUUAUCCGGAAUUACUGGGCGUAAAGCGCGCGCAGGUGGUUCUUUAAGUAGGGCGUGAAAUCUCCCGGCCUAACUGGGAGGGGUCGCUCUAGACUGGGGGACUUGAGGCUGGCAGAGGUAGGUGGAAUUCCUGGUGUAGUGGUGAAAUGCGUAGAGAUCAGGAGGAACACCGGUGGCGAAGGCGGCCUACUGGGCCAGCACUGACGCUGAGGCGCGAAAGCGUGGGGAGCGAACAGG